rnacentral:misc_RNA from 1 species
GAUGAAGAACGUAGCGAAAUGCGAUAAGUAAUGUGAAUUGCAGAAUUCAGUGAAUCAUCGAAUCUUUGAACGCACCUUGCACCCUUUGGACUGCUCCAAAGGGUAUGCUCGUUUGAGUGUCAUUGUACUCUCACACUCUCUGAUCCUUUGGAUUUGGGGAGCGGUGGACUUGGGUGCUUGCUGCUUCCUUGUGGCUCACCUGAAAUGCAUCAGUGCAUCUCUCGAUUGGACAUAGUACGGCGUGAUAAGUGUCUUCGCCGGCACCUCAUAUGAGGGUGGCCGAUCGGGAGCUCUGUGCUUUCAAACCGUCUUCGGACAACGCUGACAACUUGACCUCAAAUCGAGUAGGACUACCCGCUGAACUUAAGCAUAUCAAAAGCGGAGGA